rnacentral:rRNA from 1 species
UAUCAGACACGUCCAAAACAUCUAGUUUCACCACACCCAGGGCAUUCAGCAGUGAUUAACAUUAAAUUAACGUCAGUUUGAUUUAGCCAACGAAAACAGAGCCGGCCAAUCUGGUGCCAGCCGCCGCGGUUACACCAGUGGCUCAAGUUGAUUCGGCGUAAAGCGUGAUUAAAGGGUUAAACUUGAACUAAGCUGUAGCACGCUUGUUACUAGGAAAACCACAUCUCGAAAGAUACCCUAAUUCACCAACUUGAAUCCACGAUAACUAGAAUACAAACUGGGAUUAGAUACCCCACUAUGUCUAGUCAUAAACUCUUAUUUACCGCCAGGAAACUACGAGCAAAGCUUAAAACCCAAAGGACUUGACGGUGCCCCAUAUCCUCCUAGAGGAGCCUGUCCUAUAAUCGAUAACCCCCGUUUAACCUCACCAUCUUUAGUCAGCCUGUAUACUUCCGUCGUCAGCUCACCGCGUGAGCGAAGUAGGCCCAAUGUUCCACAAAACGUCAGGUCAAAGUGCAGCUAAUGAGAUGGAAAGAGAUGGGCUACACUUUCUAUAGAAAAUACGAAAUUUUAUGUGAAACAAACAGAAGGUGGAUUUAGUAGUAAAAGAAUAGAAUACUCCUUUUAACAGCACUGGGGCGUGUACACACCGCCCGUCACCCUCU